rnacentral:lncRNA from 1 species
UGAAAAGCCAAAUUGUUUUUUUGGGGUUAUUUCAGAAUGACGUGACGUCUGAUGGCUCUAUUCCUUUUAUAGGUCUUCUUGAUACGCAUUGAAUCCUGACCUGGGAUGGAAAGUAAUUUUUGUGAACAUAUUUACAGAAUGAUGUGUAAUAGAUCUAGCAAAGGCUGAAGGCUGGUAAUAGUGACUGAUGUAGUACCGUGGAGAAAAGAAACCUGAACACUGCUCUCCGAGGAGGCUGAGCGAGGAGUGAGGGCUGGUAUGUUGAAUGCCUCUGAUAAGUUGAAUCUUGAAUCCAGCCUUGUCGUAGUUUGCUUGCUGUAUAAUCUCAUUAAGCCAGUGGGGACUGCACUGAGGAAAAAUCACCGGAGAGUUUUUUGUAUUCUGUAGCUGACAAAGGGAAAGUCCUGAAUUUAUUCUACUGGCGUGGUUUUACUUUCAGGUGCUUUUUCAGCAGGAAGGGGCAAUCCGACAUCUUGUCUGAGAACAACCUGACUGGCCCUUGCUGGAUACUGGUUUGUAGAAGGCACUGAUGGAUGCUUCCCCCUGUGAAAGGAGGACCUCCCAUCAAUAACUUCUGGUCAGCAACUUCCAUGCCACACGGGCUCAUCUCAAAGGCUUAUGCCAUGAAGAGAAGAAGCACCACCAGUUUUGCAGAGUAUGAUCCUGGCAGGUGGAGAGAUGAAAGGCCUUUGCAGGCAAUGAUCUACAGAGCAAAAGCAGAUCAUUAACCUCAUGAAUGAGGUUCUGCUUUUUAAACAGUGACCUCAAGAGAAGCUCUGCAGGAUGAAAGGGUUAUUAUGUGACUGGACACCUUGAGUCACCUGGGGUAAAUUACUACAUUCUCUCAGUUAUUAAGUUAAGCCCCUGUGUUCUGGUGAAAUCAGUGGAGCUUGUUUUCACUGGUGUAGUAUCUGAGCCAUCAAGUUUAAUGAAUCGUUACAAAUAAUUUAAUCUGCACUUGCAGGUGCUAUUAAAACAUUUUUUUUUUACCAAGAGAUUUUUUUUUUUUUACCUAGGAAGAGCAAUCUCUCUGAGUCACAAUAGUUUAAAUAUGGAAAAGUGGG